GAAGCAUGUGAAAAGCUGUAAGUAAAAUGGAAACAGAUUUAAGAUAUAACUAGGUUCUAGGCUGAUUGAUUAAAACAAACACAAUGUCUGUAAGAAAAUUAUUCUUAAGAGGUCUUAUAAAGGCAAAGAGAAUCAAUUUUAAGGUGUUAAACAACAGAUAAGAGCCAGGAGUGGUGGCGCCUUUAACUCCUACACUCGCAGCACUUCGGAAGCAGAGGAAGAUUCCUGUGAAAUAGAGGCCAGCCUGGACUACACACUAAUCAUUUUUGACUAAUGGAGUCUUCAACCAAGCCAGGCACAAAAGGUGUCUGCCCAGGAACACUGAAUCAGUAAGUGCCUCCCCCAAGCUAUAAUGAAGAGCACCAAGAAGCCAUGAGCCCAGCUUGCCUUCAUUUACUAUCCUUGGAAUGUGAAGGAGCAAGAAGUUCACAUCCUGUCAUCAUCUGCAUAUUCCUAAUUUCUCAUCAUAAAUGUCACUUAAGAAUACCAAUGCAAAUGCAAAGUCUGCAAAGAAUUCCCUGAUUGCCUAUUGUUCCUGGAACUUUCCUCACACAUUUGCUUGUAAUUAUUGGGCUAGCCUUUCUUGCUUUAAAUGAUCAUAAGCCUUAUGAUAGCCAAAGCUAUGUGUGAUUAUAAUUGUAUUUUUCAAAGAAAUAUUUUUGUUGCAAUUAUCUCCAAUGUUUAUUAAUUGUAUACCUUGUUUUGUUGUUUGUAUAUUUUCUGUUCAUCUAUUUUUCUGAUGAAAUUUUAUCUCAAGGAAGGAAGGAAAAGAAAAAUGGGAGGUUUAUGGAAUGCCCAUGGUAUAUUAAGUUGUUUUACAGUCUAGCGUGUUUAAUUAUCACAGCUACACAGACUCUUGUAUAAGUGAUUUUAAUUGAGAUAUUGUUGUUAAAUCACCAAGUUAAUUAGCAGACUUGGAAAGUAAACUAGAUUCAAAUGGUCUUUAGUUUUUACUCCUAAUUUAAUUUUCACUGCUAUCAAAAUAGCUCACAGUUACUCUUCUUCCUUGCUUCUAAACUCAGAAGCAUGAUUUCUUCACUCAGAAAUUUAUAUCUAAUUCUAUAUUAGUCUCAUUUAGUUGAAAAAAAUCAGCUUUUAACUCUAAGACAGUUGUAUGCCUUGAUUACAAUUAAAUGAAAUGUUGAGGCUUACUCUAAGGAAAUUAGUUUAAAAAUAAAUUCAAACAUCAUUUCCAUUGAUUAACAAAAUUCUCUCAAAAUUAUUGAAGUGAUAGAAGAGAAUUUGAAUGUCUUCAAAUAAGAGUCAGGUGAUCAACAUUCAUGUCCACUUAUAAUCAAGUUUUACAUUAUUUUUUCACCUCAGUGGUAUUUGCUUAAUUGGAAAAGAAACAAAUUUCAUGAUUCUCCAAGGGAAUGAUACAAGCACAUUGGUGAGGAGACUCUGGAGUAGCUCAGUUCUUCAUCACCGAGAGUAAUAUUGAAGAAGGGAAGGCAAUGGUGGAGCAUUAUCUACAGUGGUUACAAAGUGAUAAGGAAUGGCGCUCAAUUUAUUUCUUCUGUUUCUAAAAUGGAAAGUAGCAAACUAUGACAUUACAUUAAAUGAUGUAUGUGCA